GUCCCGGGACGACCCGGUAUGACUGCCUUUAGUAUGGGGACGACCCCG
rnacentral:ncRNA from 1 species